rnacentral:rRNA from 1 species
GACGAACGCUGGCGGCGUGCUUAACACAUGCAAGUCGAGCGGAAAGGCCCUUCGGGGUACUCGAGCGGCGAACGGGUGGGUAACACGUGAGUAACCUGCCCCAGACUUUGGGAUAACCCUCGGAAACGGGGGCUAAUACCGGAUACGACACAGCUUCGCAUGGGGUCUGUGUGGAAAGUUUUUCGGUUUGGGAUGGGCUCGCGGCCUAUCAGCUUGUUGGUGGGGUGAUGGCCUACCAAGGCGACGACGGGUAGCCGGCCUGAGAGGGCGACCGGCCACAAUGGGACUGAGACACGGCACAGACUCCUACGGGAGGCAGCAGCGGGGAAUAUUGCACAAUGGGCGGAAGCCUGAUGCAGCGACGCCGCGUGAGGGAUGACGGCCUUCGGGUUGUAAACCUCUUUCAGCAGGGACGAAGCGUAAGUGACGGUACCUGCAGAAGAAGCGCCGGCCAACUACGUG